CUGAACUUGGUUCCUGUACCUAUGCCAGCAUAGUGAUUGGCAGCAGCAGAAAAGUUCAAGGUGGCAGGAAUCUCACAGUCGCUGAUUCAGAAGAGAAUGUAACCUAUGCCACUGUGAACAUACAUUAGGCACGAUCAUUAUCAGUGAGUACUGAACCCGUGGGACUGAGGCUGUACUAUUUCUCCACUCAAAUUCAAGGGAGCAUCGCAGGACUGGCCAGCUCUUAAACUCGAUAUACCCAUUCUGGUUUAAUCUCGUAUAAUGUAUCUCUACAUCCAUGUCUGUCUUAUUUGUUAAGAGAAAGAAAGACUUGCAUUUAUAUAGUGCCUUUCACAACCUCUGGAUAUCCCAAAGUGCUUAACAGCCAAUGAAGCACUUUUGAGGUGUGAUCACCGUUCUAAUUAUGGAAAGGUGGCAGCAUGUUGUGCAUAACCAGCUCUCGAAGACAGCAGUGUGAUAAUGUCCAGAUAAUGUGUUUAAGUGAUGUUCACUCACGGAUGAAUAUUGGCCAGGACGCCAAGACAAAUUCCCUUCUCUUCUUCGACUUGUGGCUUUGGGAUCAUUUACAUACACUUUGAGGACUACGGGACCUCUAUUUAACGCUCGUCCGAUCCCUCCAACAGGGCAGCACUGCCUCAGCACUGCACCAGACUGCCAGCUUCAAUUCUGCGCCUAAGUCUGCGAGGUGCAGGAACCCACAACCCCCCUGACUCAGAGGUGUGAUUACAGUCCGCUAAGUCACAGCUUGACAUGAUGGCGGCUCAUCACCAGGUUGUCAAGGGCAAUUAAGGCCGGGGAAUAAAUGCUGGCCUUGCCAGUAACUCUCAAACGUAACUCUGUUUCUCUCUCCACAGAGGCUGCAUGAUCUGCUGAGUAUUUUCAGCUCUUCUUGUUUUUAUUAAUAGCUUUAAUAAACUUGCAGAAUGGGUAAA